UUUAUUUCAGCAAAAUGCUAACAUUUUUGGCUGAUUUAAUUUGCAGAGAAAUGUUAUGCUCAUUUGAAGCUUAGCUAGUAAUUAAGCAACAAGCUAGCUUUUUUGCUACCAAAGGUAAUGUAAAAAAAAUCCCUUUGAGAGAUAUUAGCUUCUAUUUUAUAUUUUUUCUUUUGUUCCUGCCAAAAAUAGACAUUAUUCAUAUUUAUUUAAAAAAAAAAAGAAGGUUAUAAAUGCAAAUCCAAAUUUCUUAAAGGCAAACGUAAGUCAAUGCGGCUCCUUUUAGGUUUUGAUCAGUAGAAAACGAGCCCAAAUGGCUCUUUUACUGUUAAAGGUUGCCGACCCCUGGUCUAGAGGAAAGAGACGUCGGAUGGAUUCAUAGAUGAAACGAUGGAUACAUGAUUAGAUGAAUUGAUGAAUGGAUACAGAAAUGCAUGAGUUGAUGGAUGAUAACUAUUUCACCUGUUUACCUAUUUUACUGUUUUAUGGUACAUUCCCAAGAUAAAUGUGAGUUUGUUUUUACUUGAUCUGUUUUGUAUAUAACAGAGGAAAAAAAGUUUUAAUUGGUAAAUGGUCUCGACCAAUAUGUGUUUGAAAUUGUCAGUUAAAGAAUAAAAUACCAUUUAAGAUUUCUGUAAUUUACACAACAGGCAAAACUUGCUUUUUUCUCUUGAGUCUUUUGAUACUCUAAAGAUAAAUGGAUCAUUUCAUGUUAACCACAGUUUUCAUCUUUUUAACUCCUCUUCCUUACAGAACCAGAUACAGUCAGUGACGUCACUGUUACUGAAAUCACCACGUCCUCUAUAUCUCUGAACUGGACCGAACCAUCAGGAAACAGCUCCCCUAAUACAGUAGAACAGUCAGAUGGACCAACUACUCUAAAUCCCAUUGUGACUGAAAAGAGCACCACUAUAUCUUACCAGACUACUGGUGUCCAGAACACCACAAGUGUCACAGACAUUACAGCAGAUAAUCAAACUAAAGAAAAUAGUUUAACUACCAGUUAUACACAACCAGAUACAGUCAGUGACGUCACUGUUACUGAUUCCACCACGUCCUCUAUAUCUCUGAACUGGACCGAACCAUCAGGAAACAGCUCCCCUAAUACAGUAGAACAGUCAGAUGGACCAACUACUCUAAAUCCCGUUGUGACUGAUAAGAGCACCACUAUAUCUUACCAGACACUGGUGUCCAGAACACCACAAAGUGUCACAGACAUUCCAGCAGAUAAUCAAACUAAAGAAAAUAGUUUAACUACCAGUUAUACACGUAAGUAAAGAUGGAUAACAGUUAAACUUGCUGAGAUAUGUGUGCAAACAAUAACCUUAAAUUAGUCCUAUGCUAUUUGGAAACGAAAUUCAGGAUUAACAUUAAACAAAUGAG
rnacentral:lncRNA from 1 species